ACACAAUUGGGCCUUGCGCUAAGGACGUUUCUGCCUUAUCUACUCAGAGUCUUGAAACUGCAAUCCCGAUCUAGUGCUAGUCCGAUCUAUCAGCCUCCUCCUCACCGCCUCGUCUCCCACCGCCGCACCCCUUCCUCUCAUCGGCUCUUCCUCCUCCUUCGAUGACCUCACCAUCCAGGCGCAUCUCUACUCGGCUGCCCUUGCCAGUGUCGCCGAGGGGAAGCCGGCGGUCCUUGUCGGAGGAAUUAUGGGCGGCGGAUCAACACAACUUGCGCUCGGCGGCCUCUGCUCUGAUGGAGGUACUGGCGGGGUUGUGGAACAAGAACCCAUCCGACUCCAUACCUGCGCCGGAGAUCGAGAGAAUCAGACGCACGUCCGACUGCCAGGUCCCAGCACCCAGCUGCCUCCAUCGCCACGGCCUAGGGUUUCUUCAUUCCGUGUUGACAUCGUUGUCUUGCCGCCGCCAUUCAUGUGUCGCUGCUGUCAUGCGAUACUUAUGUUUGCCCCCAGCUGUUGCUUCCUCGAUUCAAACAACCAGAUAAAAUCCCGUCUACUCCUGUGUGCUUGUAAUGGGCGAACUGAAUACCGUGCACUGAAGAUUUGGGUUUGGCGCUAUCUACAGGGAGACAUGGAUUACAUGACUAAUUUGUUUGCUUUGCAAUUAUUGUGCCUACGAGAUGUGGUUUGAUGCUACCAAUUCCUUGUCACUUUCUGCUAAUCUUUUGUAUUCAACAUUCCAUGCCAGGUCUCUCGUUCAUUAAUCUGCAUAACUGAAUCUGAAAAGUCGAUAUGUAAUGAGAAGAGACGUGCGAAGGACUGGAGGUUUUUACUGCUACCUCAGAUUGAUUCAUUAGUACUGAUUGCCUUAUGUGUGCAGCCUGCAGGUUUCUUUUCGGCUAUUUUGAUAAUGUGACACCUUCCUAACUAUAGCUAGGUGAUUCGAGACAGCAACACGAGCAGAAUAGGAAGUGCUACUCGAUGCUGUAUCCUAAUAUUGCACUUUCUGUGUGUAUAUGAUCAACUAGUGCACAACAAGGUUAUUUCUCAUAGCUUCUUGCUUAUUAUCCUAUGAUCUAGUAGAUGUGUAUACUGCAGAGCAUAAUUGUACACAUCGGAAAACCGUUAUUUUUGCUUGUCGUUUGACAACCUGCAUGAGUUUUUGUUGGAAUACAUGUUUACCUUAAGUUAUUGCUUAGUAGCAUCCUGUUGUCGACUUGGAUCACUCCUACAGAAUUUAUAUGCAUUAGUUUUGAUUUAAUGACUUUGCUGCACAUUGAGUAUCCAAUGCUAGAUGAUCUGCACAAAGGUUCUAAUGAAUGGAUUUUACAUUGGCAUGUUUGAGUUUGUAGCAGAAGAAGGCAUGUUCAUUAUGCCCUACCGGGAGGUAAUAUAAUGAAUGGAUAUUCUGCAAUCAGCGUCCAGGCCAUGGGGAAGAAGGCAUAAUAGAUGUUUUUAUUUUUAUUUCUUAGAUUAGAUUAAGGUAUGAGUAAACCUGUGCCACGAAACUUGUGGAUAACAGGUUGAUCUAAUGUCCAUUUUGUAAUUUGUAUCAAUCCGAUGUAUGUAACUCAGAUGGAUGUAUGUAACUCAGAUUGGAUUUAUAAAUUUUAAUUAAUAAAAGGUUAAUAAUUUAUUCAAGCAUA